UUCCGGAAGAGCAGCGCGAAAACGAAAUCAUGGACGUGUGGGGGAUCUACGUUCAUGAAUGGAAUUGAGACUUUUGAUAUCAACAAUAUAGUUACCGAUGGUGACUGCUUGUUACAUAUGCAAGAGUGUGGUAGUGCUGUUACUGUACCAAAUCGGCAGUGACAGUCAAGACAAAUUUAUAAAUCAUCAGUGAUGUUUGCCAGUCUUUGGCAAGCGACAUGUGCUUGACACCAGAUGAGAGAACUUUCUUUAAUCAAGUUUACAAUGAUGAAAUUCUUGAAAAUGUCCAGUUUCUGGAUGACUGCCUUGUGCCAGGCAAGAUGCUUGUUCGCACUUCAAGGGAAAAGGCAUGGAGUUUAUAUCAUGCUGCCUACAUAAAGAACAUGAAAAUCUGUAUUGACUGCUGCAUGGCUUUGCAGGAAAGCGUUGGAAAACGACAAUUGUCGGUGCGCUGUCCCUCGUGACAUAAGCGGUCCGUGGUUCACAGGCCUACUGAUUCCAGGGGAGAUAAAAGGUAUGUUGCUGAUGUAACACCAUCUCCACCGCUAACUCAUCCCCACAGUUACCUAUUCCACCUUACGAUAGCCCGCUUACUAUAGGGCGUCCUCUCAACACGUGAAGGGAGAAGUGCGGCACCAACGCGAUAGCCCUAUUCUUAGCUAUCAUAGGACAAUCUAAUUAUGUUUUAAAUGAAUUUCUUAAAGCCUCUUUACAAUAAAUACAUGAACCUUGUUCAGCUUUGUUUUACAGUGUUUUGUAACACUAAUAAGCCUGGUUAAUUGGAAUGAUAUGUCCAUUGUAUAAGGUAGAGAUGAUAAUUUGAAUGUUGUUAUCUACAGAGGGAUAUAACUGUAUUUUUGUGUAUUUUGUGCAUCAUUCAAAUGUACAUUUCACUAUUUUUUUAUAGUAAAUCUAAAAAUCUAUUUAGUUUUAGUUUAAUUAUUCCUCGCAACUCCCCAUGGAGCACACGGGGCCACAACACCUCUCCUUUAAUCAUUUGAAAUUGAAGUAUUUAAAAGUCUGCUCAUUUAAGAAAAUUCCUUUGCAUUGACUGAUCACUAUUUAAUGAAUUCCUAUACUUUUUUCUCUUUUUUUGAGUAUCAUUGAGUCAUUUGUAUCAAUACUGGUCACCAUUUGUUGUACAUGUAAGAUUAAUUGUUAGUGUAAGAUGUAAAUGUUUCCUGAGUUUAUACUCAAUGACAUUAAAUAUGUUUUA
rnacentral:lncRNA from 1 species